UACGGGGGGAGCAAGCGUUGUUCGGAUUUACUGGGCGUAAAGGGCGCGUAGGCGGCCACCGCAAGUCGACUGUGAAAUCUCCGGGCUUAACUCGGAAAGGUCAGCCGAUACUGCGGGGCUAGAGUGCAGAAGGGGCAACUGGAAUUCUCGGUGUAGCGGUGAAAUGCGUAGAUAUCGAGAGGAACACCUGCGGCGAAGGCGGGUUGCUGGGCUGGUACUGACGCUGAGGAGCGAAAGCGUGGGGAGCGAACAGG
rnacentral:rRNA from 1 species